AAAUUGGUCAGCCUGAGAAUAAGGUGUAUUUGUGCUUGCAGCUGUGUUGCACAGCAGCCAGCUACCUGCAGACUGCACUCAUUCCUGUAGCACCCCUGCACCAUUCACUCCACUCUUGCUCCAGCACCCUGUAGCCAAGUCCUAAGAGACUAAUUAUACCCAUUCCCUGUUUUGUGAUGAAGUUUCAUGGAAAGUUUUUAAAAACGUCUCACAACUGAUUAACAAGAAAGUCUUCAAGUUUUUUAAAAUGAGUUACAAGAACAUUAAAAAACAAGCUACAAGUUGGGGGGAAAGAUAAGAUCAUUUUUGAAGAAGAUUGGGGCUGGAUUAGGGAAUCAUGUACCAUCAAAACAAAUCUGCAUUUAAAAUACCGGUAAUUUCAAAACACAGCUGCUGUCAAAGAUAGCCUUCAGGAUGGAAGAAGAGAGGUUGUGAAAAAGGAAAAUCUGCAAAGUUUACAAGACCAUCAAGUGCUGGUUUACCUUUAUUCCCAUCAAAGUCAAUCCUGAAACAUCCUGAAAUACUCUACGUAUAAAUAUGCCCCUGGAAUUCAACAACAACAGAAUUGUAAUCCAACACCCAAGAGUCUGUAAGUUGAAAGAAAAGAUAGAAAAGAUCUUCAUAAAUCUGCAGAUAUCAGGAGCCACAAGGUGGUAGUAGAUUAUAUAUGCAUAAUCCUGUUGUAUUAUAGGAGUAGGGAUAUAUGGAACAGAAUUUAUUUCUUUUGACAGCAGACUGCAAGAUCUUGCUCAUUCCUGUUCUCUAAAUCUUUUAAAAAAUUGCUUUGUCUGGUAUUCUGCUAUGCUUUCCCUCUCUCUUUUCAUUUCACUUUUUCUUUUUUCCCCCUUUUAUAAAAUCUUUUCUAAUGUAAAAUGAGAAAAUAAAUAGCUCUUGAAGUCAGGAAGAUUUCUGAAAUACUUUUCAAGUUAUAUGCAACAAGCACAAAAUCUUCCAAGUUGUAACAAAUUCUAACAUGGAUGCAUAUUCGAAGUUUAAGUAUAUGAUUCUUUCAACAAUGCACAGACUGCUGAAUUUCAUCUGUUGUUGUAAGUUAGAGAUAAGGUUACAGGGAAAAAAAAAAAAAAAACAGAAGUUAUUUAAUACAUUGCCGAUUGUUGCAAGUAGUAGUGAAGCCUACAAAAAAUCAUCUUAUGAAGUCAUAAAAAUGAAUGUCACAGUUAUAAUUCACAGAUCAUAGUCCAUG
rnacentral:lncRNA from 1 species